UUCAGAAGUUGUGCAAUUUUUUUUUUGGCGCAGCUUAAGAGCAGGGGAAUGGGAGGACUUAUAAUGCAUCAGUUCUUACAAGCAUUAACGACUUUAAUGUGGAACAGAUGUAUAUCCCGGCAGGACGCCCUGUACCAGUUUGUGUCAUACCAUGAUUCCAAAGAUGGAAACCUACGGAUGGGCCAGUUCCUAAGUGACUGUUCAGAAGUCACACGAGAAGGGAGGUGACUGGAAAUUGUCACAGGUGGCAACUGUACCUACCCCUAGACUGUGGACCCCACUCCGAGGUGAUAGUUAUGGAGUAUAAAUUCAACACUGUAAAAGAAACAUGAGCUGCUUGGACGAAGGAACUGCCAAAGGAUUUGGGGAGCUUGUUGAAAAGGACCCCUGCUUCAUGUAGUACAAGAUUGGAUCUGCUCUGAGGGUGAAGAAGGGUUGUGAGUCGUAAAGAAGGCUGUUGCCCAUAGGACCCCUCACCCAUCUGUUACAGAAGUUGGAAGAUUCCACCAUGACAUCAGGAGCUGCUUUUCCCAGAUUUGCACAGGAUGAGAAAGAAAAGCAAGAGGGAGAAGAUAAUGAUGUGGAAGUGCUCCCGAACUGACAUGGAUCAACCCAGACUUCAUUACCAGGCAAAAAUAAUCAACUGAUCAGGCCUACAUGAACAAGAAGACUCUUUCUCAUAAAUGAAUCCUACAGGUAUGAUGCUAGAUUUUUUCAUUAAUUUUAUUAACACAUUAUGUGUUCAUAGUACUAAAUCAGUUAUAACAAUAAAAUAAUUACCUUGGUUUUGGGCCUUCGUGGAUACUAAUACUGGAUUUACUUAGUAUUUCAACAACUGUUUUUAAUUUUCAUUCUCUCUGAUUGUAUGCUCAUGUUUUCCUCCCUCUCAAAAGAAAAUGCCAAGAAACUUGAUUCUAAAGUGACAAACAUGCAAGCCUAGCAGGAGAGUGAAACAGAGGCUUCAAGAGCCAUGAAAGUGGCAGAAAGAAAGAUUGUAAUUUAUUUGCUUCACUUUUUUUUUCAGAGAGGAGGGCUGGUCACCGAAGUCAU